GAGUUUGAUCCUGGCUCAGGAUGAACGCUGGCGGCGUGCCUAACACAUGCAAGUCGAACGGGGCCGCGUAAGGGGAGGGGAAGGCUUGCCUGACCCGAACCGGACGCGGCCUAGUGGCGGACGGGUGAGUAACGCGUGGGCAAUCUGCCCCGUACCGGGGAUAACACCUGGAAACAGGUGCUAACACCGCAUGACAGGCGGGGGCGCAUGCCCCGGCCUUGAAAACUCCGGUGGUACGGGAUGAGCCCGCGUCCGAUUAGCCAGUUGGCGGGGUAACGGCCCACCAAAGCGACGAUCGGUAGCCGGCCUGAGAGGGUGGACGGCCACAUUGGGACUGAGACACGGCCCAAACUCCUACGGGAGGCAGCAGUGGGGAAUAUUGCACAAUGGGGGAAACCCUGAUGCAGCGACGCCGCGUGAGUGAAGAAGCGCCUCGGCGCGUAAAGCUCUGUCAGCAGGAACGAUAAUGACGGUACCUGAAGAAGAAGCCCCGGCUAACUACGUGCCA
rnacentral:rRNA from 1 species